GAUGAACGCUGGCGGCGUGCCUAAUACAUGCAAGUCGAGCGAACAGAUGAGGAGCUUGCUCCUCUGACGUUAGCGGCGGACGGGUGAGUAACACGUGGAUAACCUACCUAUAAGACUGGGAUAACUUCGGGAAACCGGAGCUAAUACCGGAUAAUAUAUUGAACCGCAUGGUUCAAUAGUGAAAGACGGUUUUGCUGUCACUUAUAGAUGGAUCCGCGCCGCAUUAGCUAGUUGGUAAGGUAACGGCUUACCAAGGCAACGAUGCGUAGCCGACCUGAGAGGGUGAUCGGCCACACUGGAACUGAGACACGGUCCAGACUCCUACGGGAGGCAGCAGUAGGGAAUCUUCCGCAAUGGGCGAAAGCCUGACGGAGCAACGCCGCGUGAGUGAUGAAGGUCUUCGGAUCGUAAAACUCUGUUAUUAGGGAAGAACAAAUGUGUAGUAACUAUGCACGUCUUGACGGUACCUAAUCAGAAAGCCACGGCUAACUACGUG
rnacentral:rRNA from 1 species